rnacentral:rRNA from 1 species
UACGUAGGGUGCGAGCGUUGUCCGGAAUUAUUGGGCGUAAAGAGCUCGUAGGCGGUUUGUCGCGUCGGCCGUGAAAUCUCCACGCUUAACGUGGAGCGUGCGGUCGAUACGGGCAGACUUGAGUUCGGUAGGGGAGACUGGAAUUCCUGGUGUAGCGGUGAAAUGCGCAGAUAUCAGGAGGAACACCGGUGGCGAAGGCGGUUCUCUGGGCAUGUCCUGACGCUGAGGAGCGAAAGUGUGGGGAGCGAACAGG